CUGUCUCCCACUUUUCUUCUAACAAGUCGAGGUUGGCCUUGAGAUCUUGUGAGUUGCGCUACUCAUCGAAUGCCACGACUCACACCGAUGGAAGCUUGAGUUUAAUUGGGAUAACGGCUUCUAUUCCAAAGGCUAAGGCAAGGGGGUCUCCCCCGUGGGCAGUCUUUGGGUAGUUCGGUAUGCCCAUAACACAUGAUAAAGCUCGUCUGUCCAAGUUUUCUUUGCUUUUUCAAGUCUCACCUUGAUUCCUUGCAACAGAGUCCUGUUAGUCAUCUCGGCUUC
rnacentral:lncRNA from 1 species